rnacentral:rRNA from 1 species
ACUCCUACGGGAGGCAGCAGUAGGGAAUAUUGGUCAAUGGGCGAAAGCCUGAACCAGCCAUGCCGCGUGUCAGAUGAAGGUCCUCUGGAUUGUAAAUGACUUUUCUACGGGAAGAAUGAGCCGUCUGCGGACGGAAGUUGACGGUACCGUAGGAAUAAGCACCGGCUAACUACGUGCCAGCAGCCGCGGUAAUACGUAGGGUGCAAGCGUUGUCCGGAUUUACUGGGUUUAAAGGGUACGUAGGCGGUUGUGCCAAGUCUGGGGUGAAAGUUUGCAGCUCAACUGUAAAAUUGCCUUGGAUACUGGUCGGCUAGAGUAGUGGAGCGGUGGCUGGAAUUUAUAGUGUAGCGGUGAAAUGCUUAGAUACUAUGAGGAACACCAAUUGCGAAGGCAGGUCACUGGUCACUAACUGACGCUGAGGUACGAAAGUGUGGGAUCAAACAGGAUUAGAUACCCUGGUAGGAUA